rnacentral:rRNA from 1 species
CCUACGGGUGGCAGCAGUGGGGAAUAUUGGACAAUGGGGGGAACCCUGAUCCAGCCAUGCCGCGUGUGUGAAGAAGGCCCUCGGGUUGUAAAGCACUUUCAGUGAGGAAGAACGCCUGGUGGUUAAUACCCAUCAGGAAAGACAUCACUCACAGAAGAAGCACCGGCUAACUCCGUGCCAGCAGCCGCGGUAAUACGGAGGGUGCGAGCGUUAAUCGGAAUUACUGGGCGUAAAGCGCGCGUAGGUGGCUUGAUAAGCCGGUUGUGAAAGCCCCGGGCUCAACCUGGGAACGGCAUCCGGAACUGUCAAGCUAGAGUGCAGGAGAGGAAGGUAGAAUUCCCGGUGUAGCGGUGAAAUGCGUAGAGAUCGGGAGGGAUACCAGUGGCGAAGGCGGCCUUCUGGACUGACACUGACACUGAGGUGCGAAAGCGUGGGUAGCAAACAGGAUUAGAUACCCUAGUAGUC